rnacentral:rRNA from 1 species
UACGGAGGGUGCAAGCGUUAUCCGGAUUCACUGGGUUUAAAGGGUGCGUAGGUGGGUUGGUAAGUCAGUGGUGAAAUCUCCGGGCUUAACUCGGAAACCGCCGUUGAUACUAUCAAUCUUGAAUCUCGUGGAGGUAAGCGGAAUAUGUCAUGUAGCGGUGAAAUGCUUAGAUAUGACAUAGAACACCGAUAGCGAAGGCAGCUUGCUACACGAGUAUUGACACUGAGGCACGAAAGCGUGGGGAUCAAACAGG